UACGUAGGUGGCAAGCGUUGUCCGGAUUUACUGGGCGUAAAGGGAGCGUAGGCGGACUUUUAAGUGAGAUGUGAAAUACUCGGGCUCAACCUGGGUGCUGCAUUUCAAACUGGAAGUCUAGAGUGCAGGAGAGGAGAAUGGAAUUCCUAGUGUAGCGGUGAAAUGCGUAGAGAUUAGGAAGAACACCAGUGGCGAAGGCGAUUCUCUGGACUGUAACUGACGCUGAGGCUCGAAAGCGUGGGGAGCAAACAGG
rnacentral:rRNA from 1 species